CACCUGCCGGCGACCGGCGCACGGGUGAGUAACACGUAUGGAGCCUGCCCGCCACAGGGGGAUAACCCGGGGAAACCCGGCCUAAUACCCCAUGCCGCCCGGACCGGGCAUCCGGUCCGGGCGAAAGGAGGAAUCCGGUGGCGGCUGGGCAUGCGGCGCAUUAGCUUGACGGCGGGGUAACGGCCCACCGUGGCGACGAUGCGUAGGGGUUCUGAGAGGAAGGCCCCCCACACUGGAACUGAGACACGGUCCAGACUCCUACGGAAGGCAGCAG
rnacentral:rRNA from 1 species